UGCCAGCCGCCGCGGUAAUACAGAGGUCUCAAGCGUUGUUCGGAAUCACUGGGCGUAAAGGGUACGUAGGCGGCAACAUAAGUCGUGCGUGAAAGGCAGGGGCUCAACCCCUGGAGUGCGCAUGAUACUGUGAGGCUAGAGACAUGGAGAGGGAACUGGAAUUCUUGGUGUAGCAGUGAAAUGCGUAGAUAUCAAGAAGAAGACUCGUGGCGAAGGCAGCUUACUGGACUGUUACUGACGCUGAUGCACGAAAGCGUGGGGAGCGAACAGGAUUAGAUA
rnacentral:rRNA from 1 species